rnacentral:rRNA from 1 species
AACGAACGCUGGCGGCAGGCCUAACACAUGCAAGUCGAGCGCCCUUUCGGGGGAGCGGCGGACGGGUGAGUAACGCGUGGGAAUAUGCCCUUCUCUACGGAAUAGCCUCGGGAAACUGAGAGUAAUACCGUAUACGCCCUGUGGGGGAAAGAUUUAUCGGGGAAGGAUUAGCCCGCGUUGGAUUAGGUAGUUGGUGGGGUAAUGGCCUACCAAGCCGACGAUCCAUAGCUGGUUUGAGAGGAUGAUCAGCCACACUGGGACUGAGACACGGCCCAGACUCCUACGGGAGGCAGCAGUGGGGAAUCUUAGACAAUGGGGGCAACCCUGAUCUAGCCAUGCCGCGUGAGUGAUGAAGGCCUUAGGGUUGUAAAGCUCUUUCAGCGGGGAAGAUAAUGACGGUACCAGCAGAAGAAGCCCCGGCUAACUCCGU